AACCCUAAAACAUCAACUCUAGGGUUUUAGGUUUUAGGGUUUAGGGUUUAGGGUUUAGGGUUUAGAGUUUAGGGUUUAGAGUUGAAGGUUUAGGGUUUAGGGUUUAGAGCUGAUGUUUUAGGGUUUAGGAUAAGUUUUUUAGGGUUUAUAGUUUAGAGUUUACUUUUUAGAGUUUAGGGUUUAGUGUUAAUAGUUUAGGGUUUAGUGUUGUUGGUUUAGGGUUUAGGGUUUAGAGUUGAUGUUUUAGGGUUUAGAGUUGAAGGUUUAGGGUUUAGGAUUUUGAGUUGAUGUUUCGGGGUUUAGGGUUUAGAGUUGAUGUUUCAUGGUUUAGGGUUUGUAUUUCAAAAAAAAAUAGGGUUUAGAAUUGAUGGUUUCGGGUUUAGGGUUCGUAUUUAAAAAUAAUAGGUUUAGGAUUGAUGGUUUAGGGUUUAGAGUUGAGUUUUAGGGUUUAGAGUUUGAAUUUCGAAAUAGUAUAAUUUCAAAAAAAAUAAAAAAAUUAUUUUUAUUUUGUUAGAUUUUUAUUUAUUUAAAUAUUUAUUUAUUAUAUAUAUAAAGAACAAGAGCAUAAAAGUUUUUUUUCACUUAAUAAAGAAGGUAUUUUUGAAAAUAUAUUUUUAGUAGUGGUAAAAAUAAAAAGUAGUACCAUGAUAGUGAUAAACAUGUAAUUUUCCCUAUUUCC
rnacentral:lncRNA from 1 species